UGUAAAAAUUUUGCUGGUGACGACUCCCCCGAGGCGUCAUCCAUUCAUAAAACAUGAAUGAAGGUUCAUGAUUGAGUCAUUUUAUGUAAACAUUGAUCGGCGUCGCGUUCAUUUCUCCCCGAAAUUGAGAGGUGACGGUGGCACAGCAGCGCCACCAUGACACUUGCGAGCACAGUCCAAACCACACUAUAUUUUCAAAAUGACCGUUAAAUCGUGCGAUGAUUUCGAUUUGAGUAGUAUGUCUGUUUGUCUGUGCUUAAACACUUUAUUGACGUCAAUGCGUUCGACAUGAUAUUUUGGACAAAAACUGAUUGUUUCUAAGCUGAAGGACGUAACUUUUGUAUGACUAGGAGAGAAAAUGACAUGGUUUAUCUUGCUAGGACAAAUGAACGGAUUGGCUCUGUUGUAAUAGUUAGGUUGUUUUCGUAUCUCGUAUCAUUGGAAACUCAUGACAUGUUCAAAACUAGUGUCUAUCAUUGGGGAUGGCGCCAGUGCUGUAGGUGGCUACCAACAUAGGUGUUAUCGCAGUAAAGGUUGUUGUCUUCAAUUGGUAUUUGACCGUAAUUAAUUCGAUUAUACAUUUUACAUAAUAUUUCUUAGAGAUAGCAUAAGCACAGUUGUCAACAUAGACAGCAUUUUGUGUUAUGUUAUUUCCAAGAAGUAAUAGCAAGGGUAUAAACAUUCCUGGUGCUUCAGGUUCCGCGGGUAAAGAUCCAUUCUGAUAGCUUCACAGACUUCACUUGACUGAGGACGGACAUGACUAAUACAUCUACGGGAGGGAAAAUACAAAAUUUUGAUUAAAACUACUUGGGCACAAUGUGAAAACUAGUGUUAAAUUGGGCAACAUACACUGCAAAAUAUUUUUGCUGGUAAUCAGCAAACUUUGCUGAUUUUUGGCGUGCUGAUUGCAUUCAGCAAUACAAAUUACUGAGUAUCAGCAAUUAUUUUUCAACUUGCUGAACCACCCGCAUAGAAAUUAACCACUUUCAGAACAGUUCGAACAACAAUGCGGACGUUCACAAUAUGGUUACCAUAUCUCAAUAUGGUGUGCAAAUAGUUCACACAUUAUGGUAGAACAAUACCCGUAUCAAACAUAGUACCGUUACCGUUCUGAUUGAUGUUCAGGUAUUUUUCGACAGUAGACAGAUUUGUGGACCAUAAGAAAACAUAGUCCUACCAUAAUGGCUACUGUUACCACGCCGAGGCCGAACGCAAACGUCAAUCAGUCGUUUUCUUUUCAACAAACAAAGUGCCAAUUCACAUUUGGCAUCUAAUUAAGCCGGAAAACAGAUAAAUAUUAUUUAAAAGCGGAUACCUCCAACAGCGCCUCUAAUCCCGCUGCUGUGCUGUUUCAUGCUUGGUUUCAAAACGCGACCUGAUUUUCCGGAACAACUCGCCGUGAAACUAAACAGUAAAAGUGUGGAAGUUGAUCCGGAUUUCCCCAGAUACAAUUAGUGUGGCACCGCUAACAACAGUGAGCUGGACAUCUGGAUGUUGCUUCAUAAGAAUUCAGGAUUUAUUGUCCAGCCGCAACCGUAUAAACCAAGGUAUCAACACAAAAUCUAAGCAUCCGGCAAGCCAUCCAGCUAGGAAUCCGACGAAAAUGUGUCGCAGCAAAGUGUCUUAUAUCAUCGCAAGUGAUUAGAUUACUCAUCCUUCCGAGCGUACUCCCGGCUACAAAUGCGGUUGUGGAAUGUUCCUUCAAGUUAUCGGGUCUACAUGUGAAGCUCAGCCAGAGUAAAAUAGGUGACAAUCAUUAUGUAUUCAGUGGUCUUAAGUGUUUAUUUGAUUGUAAUGAAAUAAAUUUUAUGAAAGUUUCACAAAAUUUUGUUUUUUUUAUUUUUUUAAAUAUGAAAUACAACUCUGAUUUGAACCAUACCACCAACUGUUAAAUUUUAUGGUACAACAAUACGUCAACCAUUAUUUCCUAUUUUGCCAUAGUGAAUGUCGACAUUACAUGCUGUGUUACCAUUAAGGUUGAAGAUCCAAUUUUGUAUGGGGAAAUUUCAAUUUUGGAAUGGUAAACAUUCUUAACAACCCGUUCCUCGUAUGGUCGGGUCUCUGAAAACAUCAAUCAGUACGGUUGAAACAUUACCCAGCAAAGGUUCAUUUAUGGUCGGAGGUACCAUAUUGAUUAUGGUAAAAAAUGAAACAUACA